rnacentral:rRNA from 1 species
GGUCCAGACUCCUACGGGAGGCAGCAGUGGGGAAUAUUGCACAAUGGGCGCAAGCCUGAUGCAGCCAUGCCGCGUGUAUGAAGAAGGCCUUCGGGUUGUAAAGUACUUUCAGCAGUGAGGAAGGUGGUAGUGUUAAUAGCACUAUCAUUUGACGUUAGCUGCAGAAGAAGCACCGGCUAACUCCGUGCCAGCAGCCGCGGUAAUACGGAGGGUGCGAGCGUUAAUCGGAAUUACUGGGCGUAAAGCGCAUGCAGGUGGUUUGUUAAGUCAGAUGUGAAAGCCCGGGGCUCAACCUCGCAAUUGCAUUGAAACUGGCAGACUAGAGUACAGUGUAGGGGGGUAGAAUUUCAGGUGUAGCGGUGAAAUGCGUAGAGAUCUGAAGGAAUACCGGUGGCGAAGGGCGSCCCCUGGACAGAUACUGACACUSAGAUGCGAAAGCGUGGGGAGCAAACAGGAUUAGAUACCCUGGUAGUCCACGCCGUAAACGAUGUCUACKUGGAGGUUGUGGCCCGAGCCUGUGGYUUUCGGAGCUAACGCGUUUAAGUAGACCGCCUGGGGAGUACSGUCGCAAGAUUAAAACUCAAAUGAAUUGACGGGGGCCCGCACAAGCGGUGGAGCAUGUGGUUUAAUUCGAUGCAACGCGAAGAACCUUACC